GGCGGCCCAUUAACUUCAGCGCGGCGUCAAAAGAUGCGGAAUUAUAUUCUCCGUCGGGUGGUAUAUUUUCUCUCUGUAUCACUCGGUAUAUUACUGUUAAUUACCUUCCUGGUUAAAGUGGGAAAAGUUUAUUGUUGCAACGUACUGUUUUUUUAUCAUUGGCUUUCUUUUUGUAACACCCUGUAUAUUAGUUGCAUGUAUUAAUUGCUAUUUCUUAAUGCGAAUGUGUGUGAAUAUGCAGGUCGUAAGCAUCUCUUCAUGCAUUUUCUUGUUAUGAUUUUAUUUCUCCUCUUAUUUUUCCGAUUGUAAUACUUUAUCUUACAGUGAAUAUUUAAAUUAGGCGCAGUGUUGUAAACACCAAUUGAGCCGUUUAUUUUGAAAGUGACCUAACUCCGUUUUUAAAUUUUUGCCGGUUACCAUGGUUACAUGUACAACUUCAUGUUAUUUAUUAGUGACGCACUUCAGAUUGCUUAUAUUCAGAGAAAAUACGGUACAUUUUUUACACAUAAGUUUUCCGAAUUAAUUGAAUAACUGAGCCGUGCAGUUUGAAAGUGGCCUAACUCCAUUUAUAGUUACAUCAAGCUAUUUACUAUUGAUAAUGUCGGAAAGCAGCGAUGAAGAAAUUAUUGCACCCAUGAGGAAGAACAGAAGAAGACCACUUAGUUCAUAUAGUGAAGAAGAAAUAGUAAUUAAUAAUUAAAAAAAAGCGAAUAACAAAAAGAAUUAUAGAACAAUAUUCCUCGUCAGAGGAUGAAGAUUCAAAUAACAAUGCAGAAAAGAGUGAUGCACCAUAUAUCUAAAAAGUGCGAAAGAUUAAACAGAAUUCAGGAAAAAGAUAUUGCAGUCAAACCGGAAGUAUUGUUCAAGAAAAAAAUUUCGAAAACAAAGAUUGUGGUUGUCGGAAUGCGUGCACAAAAAAUUAUAAUGAAGAAGAAAGAAAGAAUAUUUUUGAGAAGUUUAGGGGUUUGGCAGACUUUAACAAACAAAAUGUAUUACUUCACGAAGCUGUCUGUGAAACGAAAACGUUUUGUUUUUCAAUUUGAAACAUCUUAAAUUAUGUUGAAUGGACUUGGGCAUCCUCAAAUUUUAUAAUGAAUCGGGCUGUUAAUUUUGAAAGUGGCCCAACUCCAUUCUUGAUAAGGAAACGCACGUUAUUUACUUAAUAAUUGCCACUAUUUUAACAGGAACUUUAAAUUUAACAUCCUUAGAUACGCUUAAGCAGUAUGACUCCUUAGUAUCUUUUACCUAUAUUUUUAAAUUCAUUGAAACGCAAAACUUUCAAUAUCUCGAUUUGAAGAUAAAUGGAGUUAGGCCACUUUCAAAAUAAGCGGCUCAAUUAUUUAAUUAACUAAGGUAUACAGUAAACUUUUACGAAGGCUCAAUCAUAUUACACCCCAAAGCCAAUGAAUUCUUUUCGUAUGCCGAGAAGUAUUGAAAGUAAAAGUAAA